rnacentral:rRNA from 1 species
GAUGAACGCUAGCGGCAGGCUUAAUACAUGCAAGUCGAGGGGCAGCAUGGUGUAGCAAUACACUGAUGGCGACCGGCAAACGGGUGCGGAACACGUACGCAACCUACCCAUAACUGAGGAAUAGCCCGGGGAAACCCGGAUUAAUACCUCGUAACAUAAUUGAAUGGCAUCAUUUGGUUAUUAUAGCUCCGGCGGUUUUGGAUGGGCGUGCGCCUGAUUAGGUAGUUGGCGGGGUAACGGCCCACCAAGCCUACGAUCAGUAACUGGUGUGAGAGCACGACCAGUCACACGGGCACUGAGACACGGGCCCGACUCCUACGGGAGGCAGCAGUAAGGAAUAUUGGUCAAUGGACGCAAGUCUGAACCAGCCAUGCCGCGUGAAGGAUGAAGGUCCUCUGGAUUGUAAACUUCUUUUAUAUGGGACGAAACCUGGAAAUUCUUUUCCAAUUGACAGUACCAUAGGAAUAAGCACCGGCUAACUCCGUGCCAGCCGCCGCAGUAACAC